GAUGAACGCUGGCGGUAUGCCUUACACAUGCAAGUCGUACGGAAAUCAAAUUUAUUUGAUUUUAGUGGCGGACGGGUGAGUAACACGUGAGAAUUUGCCUUUAGGAGGGGGACAACAUUUCGAAAGAUUUGCUAAAACCCCAUAUGCCCUCGGGUGAAACAGAGUAAUCUGCCUAAAGAGAAGCUCGCGCCUGAUUAGCUAGUUGGUAGGGUAAUGGCCUACCAAGGCGACGAUCAGUAGCUGGUCUGAGAGGAUGAUCAGCCACACUGGAACUGAGACACGGUCCAGACUCCUACGGGAGGCAGCAGUGAGGAAUUUUCUGCAAUGGGCGAAAGCCUGACAGAGCAAUACCGCGUGAGGGAUGAAGGCUUACUGAGUUGUAAACCUCUUUUUUCAAGGAAGAAGAUCUGACGUUACUUGAAGAAUAAGCAUCGGCUAACUCCGUGCC
rnacentral:rRNA from 1 species